AUUGAUACACUGGUCCCCAUAUGAUCACAGAAGUUAAGCAAUGUUGAGUCUGGUCAGUGCCUAGAUGGGUGACCUUUUGGGAAUACCAGUUGCUGUAAG